UUGCAAUGAUGGAAUUGUCAUGCAUGUCAAUUACUGAAAUUGAAUUUGAUGUAAAUUCAACCUUUUUAACUUUCUGAGCGAU
rnacentral:snoRNA from 1 species